GCGUGGGUCGGCCCGCUGUACUGGAUCCAGUGGGCUGGGGGACACCGCCGCCUUCAUCCCCGCGGGCGGCGGAACGGUCCGGGAGGCGCGUUCCGUCUCCCGGAUCGCG
rfam:Streptomyces toyocaensis strain NRRL 15009 contig00041, whole genome shotgun sequence.